CUGGCGGCGUGCUUAACACAUGCAAGUCGAACGAAGAUACUUAAAAUGAGAGCUUCGGCAGGAUUUUUAUUUAUCUUAGUGGCGGACGGGUGAGUAACGUGUGGGCAACCUGCCCUAUACUGGGGAAUAAUCACUGGAAACGGUGACUAAUACCGCAUGUCAUUACGGAAGGGCAUCCUUCUGUAAGAAAAGGAGUAAUUCGGUAUAGGAUGGGCCCGCAUCUGAUUAGCUAGUUGGUGAGAUAACAGCCCACCAAGGCGACGAUCAGUAGCCGACCUGAGAGGGUGAUCGGCCACAUUGGGACUGAGACACGGCCCAAACUCCUACGGGAGGCAGCAGUGGGGAAUAUUGCACAAUGGGGGGAACCCUGAUGCAGCAACGCCGCGUGAAGGAAGAAGGUUUUCGGAUCGUAAACUUCUAUCAACAGGGACGAAGAAAGUGACGGUACCUGAAUAAGAAGCCCCGGCUAACUACGUGCCAGCAGCCGCGGUAAUACGUAGGGGGCAAGCGUUAUCCGGAAUUACUGGGUGUAAAGGGAGCGUAGGCGGCACGCCAAGCCAGAUGUGAAAGCCCGAGGCUUAACCUCGCGGAUUGCAUUUGGAACUGGCGAGCUAGAGUACAGGAGAGGAAAGCGGAAUUCCUAGUGUAGCGGUGAAAUGCGUAGAUAUUAGGAAGAACACCAGUGGCGAAGGCGGCUUUCUGGACUGAAACUGACGCUGAGGCUCGAAAGCGUGGGGAGCAAACAGGAUUAGAUACCCUGGUAGUC
rnacentral:rRNA from 1 species